AAAAUGUUCAAAUGUUUUUUUCCAGUGACAUUUUGCUAACUUUUCCCAGUUAUUAAUAAUUUGCUUUGAGUAUAGUAUAUGGACGUAGUUAUUUAAACAAAUUGCUUACUGAAGUUACUAUAAAUAGUAGCUAUUCUAGACUUCCAUAUAUGAUUGCUUAUGGUUUCUGAAAAAAGUUAAAAUUGGUUGUCCAAAUUAUAAGUUUAAGAUUAUAUUUUACUUAAAAAAAACAAUACACCGUGCUAAUUUUUAUGUGUCAGAACUUUGAUUAUCCAAAUAACAAAAUGAACUUAUGUAUAUUUUUUGUCAUUGCCGAAAAUUACUUUUGAAUGGAGUGUGAUACGUAAUUUUUUGAGCCGGUAAAAUAAUCCGAUAUCAAUGGCCACUGCUUUAAAGCGACCUAAUUUCGACCGGAUAAAUCGACAUAAAGCAUAACCAAAGACUAUUAUAGAAUGCAUAAUAAAACCGAUUAUUGUUCAUAAUA